GAGGAUCCAGGCCCAGCCUGUCUACCCUUUCCCCAUUAGGCACUCGACUCAUUCUAGGGAAUUGGAAAGGAUUUACAGACAGGCAGCUCAAGUCAAAAAUUGGAUCAACAGCUGCCAGUAACACUCAAUUCUCGAGAGCUUUGAACGUGGAAGAAAAAAGCAUCGUUCACGGUGAAGAGAAACCGUACACGUGGUCUGUGUGGACAAGCCUUCAGUCAAUCGUCUGGCCUGUCGAUACCUAAAUGCAGUCAAAACAGGAUGACAACAAUGACAUCAAGCAGCACUUGCUUUGCAAUCUCACAGUGAUGGAUCUCAGUUUGAGUUAAGCAAGGGCCACUCAUCUCCUGAUCUCUUGACAUUUUUGGUGCGAACGUGGACCAAACAGCUGAAUUCCAAAUCAGAGUGUGACUUUCCUGCCAUCUUAAGGCUCUAUUUGACAGAGCAUUGUAUCAAGGAAUCAUAGCAAAACUGGAGUCAACGGGAUUCAGAGAAUAUGAUUCUCGCUUUGAUUGUGGGUUUUUGAAAAGAUUGCAUCUUCAGACCUGAGUAGAUCAAAACAAGGUGAAUUUAUUCAAGCUUGUACCACAUAUAUGCGGAAGAGGUCUCCUCGUCUCGCUUGGAGAUACUCUACCAUUUGCAGCUCAAAACAGCAUAUUGAGACAUUUUCACGUCAGGAUGGUUGUAUAUAACAUUGGCAUAAAAUAAAUUAGAUAAGUCAUUGACUACAAAAA